ACGUGUAGCAUAUGUGAAGAAAUAUGCAAUAAUUUUGAUGCAGUGCGCACAUAUCCCUGUACGGAAAGCUAUGAAAACAUGGUUGUAGACAACAACAAUUACUUUUAUCCUAGAUGUAGUAAUGGAGAAAUCGUCCGUCGGAGUGAAUAAAUGAAAUAGAGGCAAUAGUAGUAGACAGCCCACCGCUUCCUACAAAUAUUCAUUAGCUUCACAAACCUGUAUAGUCACUACAAAGCACUAAUGUAAAUGAAAUACUUAUCACUGAGGAAAAUAUUCAUCUGAAGAUACAAAAAGGAAAUGGAAGAACCUGCGAGAUCGAUUUAUGCGGAUAGUUGCAUCCAAGAAGCUGUCAAGUAGUGGUGCAGCAAGUAGCGGAACAAAAAAACAAUGGCGAUUUUAUCAAUCACUGCAGUUUCUGCGUGACACGUUUCUUCGAAAAGAGUAUAAGUCAAACAUGUCAACACCAGCAUUCUCGAAAAUGUAUUUUACAUACCAAAAUAAUUGUUAUUGCUAUUUCAAAACAGCGAGCAACAUGUCAGUUUCCGACGACAACAACAAUGAGAAGAUAAACAUCAAAGUGCUGAAUAAGGAUGCAGACAAGAUUAAUAGGAAGAAGAAAGCAAUGCAAACGUUCACACAGGACAAUAUAUUGAAACAAAUAAGCGAAAAAUUACGUCAGUUUACAUUGACGUUGCCAACUCCACUGAUAGCUGACGAAAUCCAUAAUUUUCUAAUGACGAUUAGCGCGCAGCUUCAUACAU